GGGUUGUGAGGUUAAGCGACUAAGCGUACACGGUGGAUGCCCUGGCAGUCAGAGGCGAUGAAGGACGUGCUAAUCUGCGAUAAGCGUCGGUAAGGUGAUAUGAACCGUUAUAACCGGCGAUUUCCGAAUGGGGAAACCCAGUGUGAUUCGUCACACUAUCAUUAACUGAAUCCAUAGGUUAAUGAGGCGAACCGGGGGAACUGAAACAUCUAAGUACCCCGAGGAAAAGAAAUCAACCGAGAUUCCCCCAGUAGCGGCGAGCGAACGGGGAGGAGCCCAGAGUCUGAAUCAGUGUGUGUGUUAGUGGAAGCGUCUGGAAAGGCGCGCGAUACAGGGUGACAGCCCCGUACACAAAAAUGCACAUACUGUGAGCUCGAUGAGUAGGGCGGGACACGUGGUAUCCUGUCUGAAUAUGGGGGGACCAUCCUCCAAGGCUAAAUACUCCUGACUGACCGAUAGUGAACCAGUACCGUGAGGGAAAGGCGAAAAGAACCCCGGCGAGGGGAGUGAAAAAGAACCUGAAACCGUGUACGUACAAGCAGUGGGAGCCUCUUUUAUGGGGUGACUGCGUACCUUUUGUAUAAUGGGUCAGCGACUUAUAUUCUGUAGCAAGGUUAACCGAAUAGGGGAGCCGAAGGGAAACCGAGUCUUAACUGGGCGUUAAGUUGCAGGGUAUAGACCCGAAACCCGGUGAUCUAGCCAUGGGCAGGUUGAAGGUUGGGUAACACUAACUGGAGGACCGAACCGACUAAUGUUGAAAAAUUAGCGGAUGACUUGUGGCUGGGGGUGAAAGGCCAAUCAAACCGGGAGAUAGCUGGUUCUCCCCGAAAGCUAUUUAGGUAGCGCCUCGUGAAUUCAUCUCCGGGGGUAGAGCACUGUUUCGGCAAGGGGGUCAUCCCGACUUACCAACCCGAUGCAAACUGCGAAUACCGGAGAAUGUUAUCACGGGAGACACACGGCGGGUGCUAACGUCCGUCGUGAAGAGGGAAACAACCCAGACCGCCAGCUAAGGUCCCAAAGUCAUGGUUAAGUGGGAAACGAUGUGGGAAGGCCCAGACAGCCAGGAUGUUGGCUUAGAAGCAGCCAUCAUUUAAAGAAAGCGUAAUAGCUCACUGGUCGAGUCGGCCUGCGCGGAAGAUGUAACGGGGCUAAACCAUGCACCGAAGCUGCGGCAGCGACGCUUAUGCGUUGUUGGGUAGGGGAGCGUUCUGUAAGCCUGUGAAGGUGUGCUGUGAGGCAUGCUGGAGGUAUCAGAAGUGCGAAUGCUGACAUAAGUAACGAUAAAGCGGGUGAAAAGCCCGCUCGCCGGAAGACCAAGGGUUCCUGUCCAACGUUAAUCGGGGCAGGGUGAGUCGACCCCUAAGGCGAGGCCGAAAGGCGUAGUCGAUGGGAAACAGGUUAAUAUUCCUGUACUUGGUGUUACUGCGAAGGGGGGACGGAGAAGGCUAUGUUGGCCGGGCGACGGUUGUCCCGGUUUAAGCGUGUAGGCUGGUUUUCCAGGCAAAUCCGGAAAAUCAAGGCUGAGGCGUGAUGACGAGGCACUACGGUGCUGAAGCAACAAAUGCCCUGCUUCCAGGAAAAGCCUCUAAGCAUCAGGUAACAUCAAAUCGUACCCCAAACCGACACAGGUGGUCAGGUAGAGAAUACCAAGGCGCUUGAGAGAACUCGGGUGAAGGAACUAGGCAAAAUGGUGCCGUAACUUCGGGAGAAGGCACGCUGAUAUGUAGGUGAAGUCCCUUGCGGAUGGAGCUGAAAUCAGUCGAAGAUACCAGCUGGCUGCAACUGUUUAUUAAAAACACAGCACUGUGCAAACACGAAAGUGGACGUAUACGGUGUGACGCCUGCCCGGUGCCGGAAGGUUAAUUGAUGGGGUCAGCGCAAGCGAAGCUCUUGAUCGAAGCCCCGGUAAACGGCGGCCGUAACUAUAACGGUCCUAAGGUAGCGAAAUUCCUUGUCGGGUAAGUUCCGACCUGCACGAAUGGCGUAAUGAUGGCCAGGCUGUCUCCACCCGAGACUCAGUGAAAUUGAACUCGCUGUGAAGAUGCAGUGUACCCGCGGCAAGACGGAAAGACCCCGUGAACCUUUACUAUAGCUUGACACUGAACAUUGAGCCUUGAUGUGUAGGAUAGGUGGGAGGCUUAGAAGUGUGGACGCCAGUCUGCAUGGAGCCGACCUUGAAAUACCACCCUUUAAUGUUUGAUGUUCUAACGUUGACCCGUAAUCCGGGUUGCGGACAGUGUCUGGUGGGUAGUUUGACUGGGGCGGUCUCCUCCUAAAGAGUAACGGAGGAGCACGAAGGUUGGCUAAUCCUGGUCGGACAUCAGGAGGUUAGUGCAAUGGCAUAAGCCAGCUUGACUGCGAGCGUGACGGCGCGAGCAGGUGCGAAAGCAGGUCAUAGUGAUCCGGUGGUUCUGAAUGGAAGGGCCAUCGCUCAACGGAUAAAAGGUACUCCGGGGAUAACAGGCUGAUACCGCCCAAGAGUUCAUAUCGACGGCGGUGUUUGGCACCUCGAUGUCGGCUCAUCACAUCCUGGGGCUGAAGUAGGUCCCAAGGGUAUGGCUGUUCGCCAUUUAAAGUGGUACGCGAGCUGGGUUUAGAACGUCGUGAGACAGUUCGGUCCCUAUCUGCCGUGGGCGCUGGAGAACUGAGGGGGGCUGCUCCUAGUACGAGAGGACCGGAGUGGACGCAUCACUGGUGUUCGGGUUGUCAUGCCAAUGGCACUGCCCGGUAGCUAAAUGCGGAAGAGAUAAGUGCUGAAAGCAUCUAAGCACGAAACUUGCCCCGAGAUGAGUUCUCCCUGACCCUUUAAGGGUCCUGAAGGAACGUUGAAGACGACGACGUUGAUAGGCCGGGUGUGUAAGCGCAGCGAUGCGUUGAGCUAACCGGUACUAAUGAACCGUGAGGCUUAACCUUACAACGCCGAAGCUGUU
rnacentral:rRNA from 1 species